CGUCGUCGACGUACGUCUACGAGAGUACGUUAGACCUCGGCUCAGGACGAACGCUGCGGCGUGCUUAACACAUGCAAGUCGAACGAUGAAGCCUAGCUUGCUAGUGGAUUAGUGGCGAACGGGUGAGUAAUACGUGAGUAACCUACCUUUAACUCUGGGAUAAGCCUGGGAAACCGGGUCUAAUACCGGAUACGACCAAUCUCCGCAUGGGGUGUUGGUGGAAAGCGUUAUGUAGUGGUUAUAGAUGGGCUCACGGCCUAUCAGCUUGUUGGUGAGGUAACGGCUCACCCAAGGCGACGACGGGUAGCCGGCCUGAGAGGGUGACCGGCCACACUGGGACUGAGACACGGCCCAGACUCCUACGGGAGGCAGCAGUGGGGAAUAUUGCACAAUGGGCGCAAGCCUGAUGCAGCGACGCCGCGUGAGGGAUGACGGCCUUCGGGUUGUAAACCUCUGUUAGCAGGGAAGAAGAGAGAUUGACGGUACCCGCAGAGAAAGCGCCGGCUAACUACGUG
rnacentral:rRNA from 1 species